rnacentral:rRNA from 1 species
AUUGAACGCUGGCGGCAGGCUUAACACAUGCAAGUCGAGCGAGCGGCGGACGGGUGAGUAAUGACUGGGAAACUGCCUGAUGGUGGGGGAUAACUACUGGAAACGGUAGCGAAUACCGCAUACCAACAGUUGGGCGGAGAUGGGAUUAGCUAGUAGGGGGGGUAAGGGCUCACCAAGGCGACGAUCCCUAGCUGGUCUGAGAGGAUGACCAGCAACACGGGAACUGAGACACGGUCCAGACUCCUACGUGAGGCAGCAGUGGGGAAUAUUGCACAAUGGGCGAAAGCCUGAUGCAGCCAUGCCGCGUGUGUGAAGAAGGCCUUCGGGUUGUAAAGCACUUUCAGCGAGGAGGCGUUACUCGCAGAAGAAGCACCGGCUAACUCCGUGCCAGCAGCCGCGGUAAUUC